GACGAACGCUGGCGGCGUGCCUAAUACAUGCAAGUAGAACGCUGAAGGAGGAGCUUGCUCUUCUGGAUGAGUUGCGAACGGGUGAGUAACGCGUAGGUAACCUGCCUGGUAGCGGGGGAUAACUAUUGGAAACGAUAGCUAAUACCGCAUAACAGUAGAUGUUGCAUGACAUUUGCUUAAAAGGUGCAAUUGCACCACUACCAGAUGGACCUGCGUUGUAUUAGCUAGUUGGUGGGGUAACGGCUCACCAAGGCGACGAUACAUAGCCGACCUGAGAGGGUGAUCGGCCACACUGGGACUGAGACACGGCCCAGACUCCUACGGGAGGCAGCAGUAGGGAAUCUUCGGCAAUGGACGGAAGUCUGACCGAGCAACGCCGCGUGAGUGAAGAAGGUUUUCGGAUCGUAAAGCUCUGUUGUAAGAGAAGAACGAGAGUGAGAGUGGAAAGUUCACACUGUGACGGUAUCUUACCAGAAAGGGACGGCUAACUACGUG
rnacentral:rRNA from 1 species